GACGAACGCUGGCGGCGUGCCUAAUACAUGCAAGUAGAACGCUGAAGAGAGGAGCUUGCUCUUCUUGGAUGAGUUGCGAACGGGUGAGUAACGCGUAGGUAACCUGCCUUGUAGCGGGGGAUAACUAUUGGAAACGAUAGCUAAUACCGCAUAACAAUGGAUGACACAUGUCAUUUAUUUGAAAGGGGCAAUUGCUCCACUACAAGAUGGACCUGCGUUGUAUUAGCUAGUAGGUGAGGUAAUGGCUCACCUAGGCGACGAUACAUAGCCGACCUGAGAGGGUGAUCGGCCACACUGGGACUGAGACACGGCCCAGACUCCUACGGGAGGCAGCAGUAGGGAAACUUCGGCAAUGGGGGCAACCCUGACCGGGCAACGCCGCGUGAGUGAAGAAGGUUUUCGGAUCGUAAAGCUCUGUUGUAAGUCAAGAACGGGUGUGAGAGUGGAAAGUUCACACUGUGACGGUAGCUUACCAGAAAGGGACGGCUAACUACGUG
rnacentral:rRNA from 1 species